rnacentral:rRNA from 15 species
GAGUGCGAUCAUACCAGCACUAAAGCACCGGAUCCCAUCAGAACUCUGAAGUUAAGUGUGUUUGGGCGAGAGUAGUACUAGGAUGGGUGACCCCCUAGGAUGUCCUCGUGUUGCACUCC